rnacentral:misc_RNA from 1 species
ACGAGAUUUGUGCACAACAUAGAAAUUUCUGUAAAUUUUCUUCUGCAAAUUGUUUUGAAUGAAUUGUGAUAUUGAAUUGUGACUUAUUGGUAUUGAAAUUAUUAUUGAAAGGAACAAUAUGCUUUUGAUCUAAACUGUUAGAAAAAUAAAUUGUGUGUGUUUGAAUUACAAAGUAAUGUUUAGAAAAUUGCUAAGAUAGUUUUGAAACCACAGUAUUAUGACCACAUAUCUGAAUGCCUCACUAGCUUGACUAGUGGGACGAACUAGUUUUGUAUUCCCUCUCUGGCUAAUGUGUUGAGGUGUGUGCUAGUAGAGGAAGAAAUUUGAAUGGG